CGCGCAGGCGGUCGAAUCAGUCGAAUGUGAAAGCCCCCGGCUCAACUGGGGAGGGUCAUUCGAUACUGUUCGACUUGAAGGCAGGAGAGGGAAGCGGAAUUCCCGGUGUAGUGGUGAAAUGCGUAGAUAUCGGGAGGAACACCCGUGGCGAAGGCGGCUUUCUGGCCUGUUCUUGACGCUGAGGCGCGAAAGCUAGGGGAGCGAACG
rnacentral:rRNA from 1 species